rnacentral:rRNA from 1 species
UCGCAUGGGUUUAUACCCUGUGUGGAUGACGGUACCGGCAUAAGAAGCACCGGCUAACUACGUGCCAGCAGCCGCGGUUAUACGUAGGGUGCGAGCGUUAAUCGGAAUUACUGGGCGUAAAGCGUGCGCAGGCGGUUUGGUAAGACAGGCGUGAAAUCCCCGGGCUUAACCUGGGAACUGCGUUUGUGACUGCGAGACUAGAGUACGGCAGAGGGGGGUGGAAUUCCACGUGUAGCAGUGAAAUGCGUAGAGAUGUGGAGGAACACCGAUGGCGAAGGCAGCCCCCUGGCCGNAUACUGACGCUCAUGCACGAAAGCGUGGGUAGCAAACAGGAUUAGAUACCCUGGUAGUCCACGCCCUUANACUAUGUCAACUAGGUGUUGGGUGGGUAAAACCAUUUAGUACCGUAGCUAACGCGUGAAGUUGACCGCCUGGGGAGUACGGCCGCAAGGUUAAAACUCAAAGGAAUUGACGGGGACCCGCACAAGCGGUGGAUGAUGUGGAUUAAUUCGAUGCAACGCGAAAAACCUUACCUACCCUUGACAUGCCAGGAACUUGCCAGAGAUGGCUUGGUGCCCGAAAGGGAGCUUGGACACAGGUGCUGCAUGGUCUGUCGUCAGCUC